rnacentral:rRNA from 1 species
CUAAGGCUAAAUACUCUCUAGUGACCGAUAGUGAACCAGUACCGUGAGGGAAAGGUGAAAAGUACCCCGGAAGGGGAGUGAAAGAGAACUUGAAACCGUGUGCUUACAAGUAGUCAGAGCCCGUUAAUGGGUGAUGGCGUGCCUUUUGUAGAAUGAACCGGCGAGUUACGAUCUGAUGCAAGGUUAAGCAGAAAAUGUGGAGCCGUAGCGAAAGCGAGUCUGAAUAGGGCGAAUGAGUAUUUGGUCGUAGACCCGAAACCAGGUGAUCUACCCUUGGUCAGGUUGAAGUUCAGGUAACACUGAAUGGAGGACCGAACCGACUUACGUUGAAAAGUGAGCGGAUGAACUGAGGGUAGCGGAGAAAUUCCAAUCGAACUUGGAGAUAGCUGGUUCUCUCCGAAAUAGCUUUAGGGCUAGCCUCAAGUGAUGAUUAUUGGAGGUAGAGCACUGUUUGGACGAGGGGCCCCUCUCGGGUUACCGAAUUCAGACAAACUCCGAAUGCCAAAUA